rnacentral:tRNA from 1 species
GGCGGGGUAGCUCAGUUGGCAGAGCAGAGGACUCAUAAGCCUAAGGUCACCGGUUCGAUCCCGGUCCCCGCCACCA